UGGGGAAUAUUGGGCAAUGGGCGAAAGCCUGACCCAGCUAUGCCGCGUGAAUGAUGAAGGCCUUAGGGUUGUAAAGUUCUUUUAGGUGGGAAGAUGAUGACGGUACCACCAGAAAAAGCUCCGGCUAACUUCGUGCCAGCAGCCGCGGUAAUACGAAGGGAGCAAGCGUUGCUCGGAUUUAUUGGGCGUAAAGGGUGUGUAGGUGGCCUUGCAAGUUAGGUGUGAAAGCCCAGAGCUCAACUCUGGAAUUGCACUUAAAACUGCUAGGCUUGAAGAUCGGAGAGGUAAGCAGAAUUCCCAGUGUAGAGGUGAAAUUCGUAGAUAUUGGGAAGAAUACCGAUGGCGUAGGCAGCUUACUAGUCGAAUCUUGACACUGAGGCACGAAAGCGUGGGGAGCAAACA
rnacentral:rRNA from 1 species